rnacentral:rRNA from 1 species
CCUAAAUACUAAUACCAGAUCGAUAGUGCACAAGUACCGUGAGGGAAAGGUGAAAAGAACUGAGGUGAUCAGAGUGAAAUAGAACCUGAAACCAUUUGCUUACAAUCAUUCAGAGCCCUAUGUAGCAAUACAGGGUGAUGGACUGCCUUUUGCAUAAUGAGCCUGCGAGUUGUGGUGUCUGGCAAGGUUAAGCAAACGCGAAGCCGUAGCGAAAGCGAGUCUGAAUAGGGCGCUUAGUCAGAUGCUGCAGACCCGAAACGAAGUGAUCUAUCCAUGAGCAAGUUGAAGCUAGUGUAAGAACUAGUGGAGGACUGAACCCAUAGGCGUUGAAAAGCCCCGGGAUGACUUGUGGAUAGGGGUGAAAGGCCAAUCAAACUUCGUGAUAGCUGGUUCUCUCCGAAAUAUAUUUAGGUAUAGCGUUGUGUCGUAAUAUAAGGGGGUAGAGCACUGAAUGGGCUAGGGCAUACACCAAUGUACCAAACCCUAUCAAACUCCGAAUACCUUAUAUGUAAUCACAGCAGUCAGGCGGCGAGUGAUAAAAUCCGUCGUCAAGAGGGAAACAACCCAGACUACCAGCUAAGGUCCCUAAAUCUUACUUAAGUGGAAAACGAUGUGAAGUUACUUAAACAACCAGGAGGUUGGCUUAGAAGCAGCCAUCCUUUAAAGAAAGCGUAAUAGCUCACUGGUCUAGUGAUUUUGCGCGGAAAAUAUAACGGGGCUAAAGUAAGUACCGAAGCUGUAGACUUAGUUUACUAAGUGGUAGGAGAGCGUUCUAUUUGCGUCGAAGGUAUACCGGUAAGGAGUGCUGGAGCGAAUAGAAG